rnacentral:rRNA from 1 species
UGGGGAAUAUUGCACAAUGGGGGAAACCCUGAUGCAGCGACGCCGCGUGGAGGAAGAAGGUCUUCGGAUUGUAAACUCCUGUCGUUGGGGACGAUAAUGACGGUACCCAACAAGAAAGCCACGGCUAACUACGUGCCAGCAGCCGCGGUAAAACGUAGGUGGCAAGCGUUGUCCGGAAUUACUGGGUGUAAAGGGAGCGCAGGCGGAAGGACAAGUUGGAAGUGAAACCCACGGGCUCAACUCGUGAACUGCUUUCAAAACUGUUUUUCUUGAGUGGUGUAGAGGUAGGCGGAAUUCCCGGUGUAGCGGUGGAAUGCGUAGAUAUCGGGAGGAACACCAGUGGCGAAGGCGGCCUACUGGGCACUAACUGACGCUGAGGCUCGAAAGCAUGGGUAGCAAACAGGAUUAGAUACCCUGGUAGUCCAUGCCGUAAACGAUGAUUACUAGGUGUGGGAGGAUUGACCCCUUCCGUGCCGCAGUUAACACAAUAAGUAAUCCACCUGGGGAGUACGACCGCAAGGUUGAAACUCAAAGGAAUUGACGGGGGCCCGCACAAGCAGUGGAGUAUGUGGUUUAAUUCGAAGCAACGCGAAGAACCUUACCAGGUCUUGACAUCGGAUGCAUAGCUAAGAGAUUAGCGAAGUCCUUCGGGACACCCAGACAGGUGGUGCAUGGUUGUCGUCAGCUCGUGUCGUGAGAUGUUGGGUUAAGUCCCGCAACGAGCGCAACCCUUACUGUUAGUUACUACGCAAGAGGACUCUAGCAGGACUGCCGUUGACAAAACGGAGGAAGGUGGGGAUGACGUCAAAUCAUCAUGCCCUUUAUGACCUGGGCUACACACGUACUACAAUGGCGUUAAACAAAGAGAAGCGAAGCCGCGAGGUGGAGCAAACCUCAAAAACAACGUCCCAGUUCAGACUGCAGGCUGCAACUCGCCUGCACGAAGUCGGAAUUGCUAGUAAUCGCGGAUCAGCAUGCCGCGGUGAAUACGUUCCC